ensembl:lncRNA
GAUGAAACAGAUGAUUGGGCAGAUGUUGGGCUUCUGGUAACCUUCUCUCUGUUUUCAUCCUGCUCAUUAAGUAUGCGCGUGCUCCGUAGCCCCGCCCCCUUAUUUAUAGGUUUUAAUGGUGCUUUCCUAUAUAACCAGCCAGCUGAAGCCCGUCUCCUUUUAGCGUUUACACUUACACGCACGUGCACGUCUACACUCUCCUGCCGUGAGUUCCAGCUCCAUACUGUUCAGAACCAACAGACAUGAUUAUCAGACUGGGACGCCUGACUCCUGGAUACUUCCGUCUCCUGCAGAGGCAGGUAGCUGGUGAGAUUCAGACCCAGCCUCAGGAUGGCUCCCUUAACCAAAUUGCCAUGAUGCUUGCCAUUAUGGGUCUUGGCCUGUCCUACUACAGUGCCAAGCAGAUGACCGAGAAGGUGCAGCAUAGCCCGGUGCCCUGAACACAACCAUGACCUCUGAUCCAUUUGACUCCCUGCGGCGGAACAAAAGCCAAAUCGGAGAUGGCGGGUUGGAAGAAGACCUUAUCCAGGACUUCAUGUACACUACUUCACCAGAAGCCUGGAUGUUCUGAGUUUAGUCGGCAUGAGACGAGUACAGGGUUUUUAGCAAGCAAUGUCAACAAAAAAAUAGAGUUCAGAUAUGACCUGUGUCUUGAUAGUUGCACUGGUACAUUCAUCAGGGUCCUUUAAUACCUCUGAGGCCAAAAUUUUGGCUUAUCUUCAGUGAUUCCUAUUUAAAGGGAAUGAGCCAGUCACUGGUACUUUGGUGUAGAAUAUAUGCCCUUUUAAAGGGAAACCCUCUGCCUUCUGUAUCAAGCAACUGUUAAACGCAGGUCACUAAAAAACUAGGGAUAUAUAUAUAUAUAUUUUUUUUAUUAUUAUUUUUGUGAAAAGCUGCUUAAAUGGAGACUAGGCAUCGCAGGAAUCCUUCAAACUCGCACUGGAAGAGCAGUACCAAACUACACUAUAUGAAAUUAAAGGCCCAUUCGGUGUUACACACAGAUUUAUUGUACUGUUCUAAGUAGCCAUGUUUUUGUGACGUUUUUGAGCAAAGACCUUAAAUGUUAAAGGGAUGUUAACAAGUGCAUGUGUGUUGAGAUUUUAAAGAAUCCAAUAUGUGAUCUUGUCAAGUGAUUUUUAUAUGAAUGUAUGUUGAUUAUUUAAAAUUGGAUUAAAUAAAGCUGUGAACAUUUUUGAACAAGUCAUGGACUGUGAUGUAUUGACUGAAAAGUUAGAAUUUCUAGUACGAUAUUUUCUCCCUCAUGUCCAUUCCAAUCUUCCCUAUUGCGUGAUCUUGACCGCAUAUCUGCAAAUCAAAGCACAUGAUGGGAGAUUCCUGGGAUAUAUACUAACUUAUGCUGCAUAAAUAUAUUAAAUCUGUUGCUACACUUGAAAAUCCCCAGACUGGCCUGUUUGACAGGAAGUGGAUUAAAAGGCUUUGUGGAUAGAAUUUGUUUCUGCUGGUCAGAUGCAAGUUUAUUAAAUUCAGUUUCUGUGCUUUAGGUAAAACGAGUCAGCUGACAGUUCUGCUUCUCAUAAGAUCUGGCUCAGCAAAAUCAUUUCCUGUAUCCCCACUGAAGCAUGCCAUCUGCUAAGCAGGAAGUGGUCAUGCGUGCAGAUGGGAACUUCCUCUGUAUGCUGGCCUAGUAGUAAUAUAGCAACUGAAUAGUGUGCAGAAACUGUGAUUGGAAACUCUGGCCCAAGUUGAUUGAUUAAAUCAGGUAUGUUUGCCUAGGAGGAAAAAGUGCAGUGUUGUGGUCUGCUGUAUGUGUUUGUGCCUUGGAUGUGCCCUGAUUUCACACUCGCAAAUGCCACGGUGCUGAAGUUGUGCCAAGUUUGUCUUAUGCAACCUUUGCAUUUUGCUUAUGGGACCAGUUUGGCUAGUUUUUUUUUUGUUGUUUUUAAGUCCUGACUAUCAGUAAUCGCCAAAAUGCAGAUUAUACUAUUUGUAUUUUCCAUAAAUCAUAUUUCUUUUAGUCAGAAAAUGGUGAUUCUGCAGUUUGUUUCUAUUCCUUUUUUAAUGCAGCAAACACUGCUGUAUGGAAACUUAAGGGAAGUCUGAGUUGGAAAUCCUGCACCAGAGGAUUGGUACAAACUUUGCUGGGGUGUUCAGUCUUAUUCGGAAAGGGCUGGUGUGGGUACAGGUUUUCGAUCCGAGCCACAGCGGAGUCUACGGAAAGUCAAGCUCAACUGGUGGAAUCAGGUGUGCGCUUGAUUGGAAUAUGAACCUGUACGCACAACGGCCCUUUGUGGAUAUGAUUGGACACCCUGGUCCAAGGACUUAACUACCACUUUACCAAAAAUUGACCUAUAAUAUCCACCAAAGGCCUACAGUGUGCUUACAGGUUUUCAUUCUAACCAUGUACAAGUAACACCAGAUAGUUGAAUGAAGUCUAAGCUCACCUGAGUACACAGGUGGAAUCAGGAGUGGUUUGUCCUGAUUGUUUGGAAUGAAAACCUGCAGUCACACUGGCAUUUUACAGAACCUGGGCUUUGUGUCAAGCACUUAAAUAAGAACUGAGUGGUUCCUUAUUUCCUGGUGUGAGCUCGGGGUUACGUUUGAUUAGUUCGCAGAGCAACCCUUGCUGGAAAAAUAUCUGCAGUGUGUAAAGACUUGUGCCCCCAGUAUAUUGUGUAUAAUAAUAGGAAGAUUGUCUAAGGUUUAUUUUGAAAUCUGAAGUGAUUUGGUUGGUCGGUGAGCUCCUUUAGCUUGAAAAAGACAGACUUUCACAGGGCUAUGGGAGUGUGAGGAUCCUUGCAGAUCUGAUAGCCUAAAAAUACUGAAAGGAAACAAUGGUUGGUUGGCGUUAAAGAGGCAUCAUACACAAAACCCUUUAAAGUCUUUUUAAUUUCCUCUCAGUCUGUAUGGCUGGAUCAUACUAGUGCAUUUAGAUUAUUUGUGCAUAGUGAAGAUGUCGUGCAUGAUGCUCCCUCCACACAUGGCGGAUGCUGCUGGGUAUUUUGCUCCCUCCCAAGCUGUGCUGAUUCACUUGUGGAAGAUGUGAUGCACCCUGACAGGGCAGAACAAUGUCUGCUUAAAUGUGAACCUCUCCCACCAGUAUGCAUCACUGGGCAAUUCGACCAAAAAAAGAUUCAGGCUGCAAAGGCAAGUUCAGGACACGAGAGCCGUGCUCUCAUUGGCUGGUGUGAUCACGUGUCAGGAAGUCAUCACAAUUCUGAGCCAUAGAGACAAAGCGAAGGGAUCACGCCAGAGAUAUGGAAGGGAUAGAGACAGUACAACAUGUCUGUUUUUAACACAAAAGCAUUGAUGGAUGAAAAAGGAUCUAGGCUUACUAUGUACUCAGCCGUUUAUCUUCUCAGUUUAGAUAACUGGAUCAGUAAUGUGCUUGAAGUAUGUUUUUUUUUUUUUUUUUUUUUUUUUAAACUGUGCAAGUUGCGUAUCACAAUAUACACACAAUCUAAUCCUUUAACAUUCAACAGUGGUAAUGUCCCAAUGUUUCAACACCGUGUGUCAGAGCACUGUUUCGAGUUAAGGAAUGUAUUCAUUAAUCGAUUUCCCUUCUUAGAUUUUAUAUGAAGAAGGUUUAUAUUCAUUUUUAAUAUUAAUUUAGAAGCUUUCUAUUCAUUUUGUGAAAGACAUUAUUCAAAACAAUUUCCUCUUUUAUUAGUUUGUUGUUACAUUGAGAUGCCUAAACAGAGUGCAAUUACAAUAUCCAUGUACCUUUUUAUAAUCUUUCAUAUUGCUGCUAAAACUGUGAGAUCAAAAUGUUAGUGAAUAGAGGUGGCUUAGCGGUUAGCACGUUCGCCUCACAUCUCCAGGGUUGGGGGUUUGAUUCCUGCCGCUGCCCUGUAUGUGCGGAGUUUGCAUGUUCUCCCUGUUGUGCACGGGUUUCCUCCCCCAGUUCAAAGACAUGCAUGGUAGGCUGAUUGGCAUGUCCAAGGUUUCCAAAGUGUAUGAAUGGGUGUGUGAUUGCGCCCUGUGAUAGAUUGGCACCCCGCCUUGUGCCCGAUGAUCCCUAGUAUAAGUUCCAGGUCCCCACGACCCUGA